rnacentral:rRNA from 1 species
UACGAAGGGGGCUAGCGUUGCUCGGAAUCACUGGGCGUAAAGGGUGCGUAGGCGGGUCUUUAAGUCAGGGGUGAAAUCCUGGAGCUCAACUCCAGAACUGCCUUUGAUACUGAAGAUCUUGAGUUCGGGAGAGGUGAGUGGAACUGCGAGUGUAGAGGUGAAAUUCGUAGAUAUUCGCAAGAACACCAGUGGCGAAGGCGGCUCACUGGCCCGAUACUGACAUUCAGACACGACAGCAUGGGGAGCGAACGGG